rnacentral:lncRNA from 1 species
CCCAUCUCGCAAUUCUCAGAAUCACAAAGUUCAGUUUAAAAAUUAGUUGAAACUCUUUUUGUGACGACUAUCCAUCUAACCUCUUUAAACUAACGAAAAAUUUAUUUAUCAUAAAAUAUUUUCCUAUUAACUCUGUAAAUUAUGUAUUUGAUUUAUGAAUGAUGGACUUGGAAUUGAAAUACGGAACAUACUGAAUGACCUGUUUAUAUAUAGAACGAAAAGAGUAAAUAAUACAUACAAUACCAGAGGUUCACAUCAGAUAGCAGCCAAAAAUGAAAAAGCAAUAGCAUCAGUACUACUUUUAUUCCUGACAGACCCCAUAUUACUAUACUAGUAUUAUAUUGUACUCAAAGCAGCCUAUUCACCAUCAGACAUAAUAAAGAAUGAAUUCAAGCUGGAUCUUUGAACAAAAUACCAAAUACAAGAUAUCCCCUUCCCAAUACAGAACGAGAAAUGUACGCGCGCCAAAAAUUAAACCCCAGUAGUCAUAAGAUAUCUGUAUGCUGGUUCAGAUGAAAGUCAAUGGCGAUUCGACAACUUGAGGGUCUCCCUUUCAUGUGUGGUUGAACUAUGGGUAAUGCUUGAGGUCAACUGAUCCCAAUUCAUAAGCUUUUAUCUGCAAAAUAAAUAUAAAUCAUAACUCAUAAGUUAAUUUGUAUCUUUUAUCUUCUUUUUUAUCUAUUAUUUUUCUAAAUAUUCUCUCAGCUGUUUCCGGAUCUACUAAUUCUUCUCUUACUAUAGUGAAAUAUUUGCUCUCAAAUUUUAGUCUUUCACAUUUUAAUUUUGUUAAUUGUCUAUUAUUUGGUAUUUUCAUCCCUUCUGGUAUUAACAUUAUAUUUCUUAUUUCUUAUUGUAUUUUAUCCAUUUUUAAAAGUAAUUUAUUCAAUUUUUGAUGUGUAUUAUCAAUUGUACUCAUAUUUUUCUUUAUAAUAUAAAUUAUUUUCUUCAUCUUCAUAUAUACUGAUAAUUUUCUCAUAUGUAUAUAUGUCCUUUAUUGAUUCUAUUAUUAAUUUUUCUAAUAUUUGUUCUUUUAUUUCUUUAGGAAGUUCUUUAAUUAUUGCCAAAGUCAUUAUUUUUAAUUUAUUAUGAAUAGGUUUUAAAAAUAUAUAACUACCUUUUUCUUCUUCUAAACACCAAUAAUUAUUUAUUUUCUUUAUUUUAAUUUCCAUGAUCUCUAUGGCCCUGAUACCAAUAAAUGGGAGUGCUACUUAGAGCGAACAUAAAUCAAAUAAAAAUAUUAAUCAAAUAAAUUAAAUAAAAUUAUCAAGUUUCAACCAAUGUUUAAAUUUUUAAGGACUAAAAUAGAAAAAAAAAAUUAUAUUAUGGUACCUUGUUAUGUAAUAUUCAAAUGGAGGGUAUUUUUGGUAUGAAAUUUGCCUAAGAGCAAUCUUGAAACUCUUUUGAAAAGGUCAUUCCCAUAUAUUUCCCCAUGAACAAGAGACAUUUGAAAAUGAAUUUCAAAACUACACAAUUGCUUAAAAUCCCUGUAUCUUGUUAUGCUUGUUAGAUUAUGGAAUAUAUAAAUGGGAGCCGUCAAGAAUUAAGGUUUAAUAUUGAAAUGUGUAACAAGUGUGCUGUCAAAACUCUUGAAACUUCUAAAUUUGUGAUUGCAGCCUUUAAGACGUCUAUCCAAGUCAACGGGCCCAUGGUCGAGGGCUUGAGAGCUGCACUAGCUCAGCGGUUCGCGGACGGAGUUGGACAGGGCUUGCCCCUUAUCAUUGGGUCAACCUUGGCCCAACUAGUUGAUCAAUGGACCAAUGAGUCGUAGCUAAUUGACAAAUAUGUUUAAAUAUAAAUGAGUUAAUUAAAUCAUCAAUCACCAACAUUUAUAGUCAGUUACUAUUUGCUCAUCCAAAAAUAAUUGGUUGCUGAAUGCUCACCCACUUUUGAAAACAAUUACACAUUCAUCACUCAUUUCACUUCCAUCCAUCCAACUAAACAAAAUACUUCACGUGGCCGACGAAAACUUACGUGUCACGAACACCAUUAAACUUCAGCAAGUGGCCCCUAAUUAAAUUGCUUUCUUCCCAAUGUUAUAACAGAGUAGAAAUUUCCUUAUGUCAUGCAAGCAAUUUUCUAGUGAUCAGAGAUACAAAUGCAUUUGUAAUUUUUAGCUGCACCAACCAUCGUCGAAGUAUGUUUGGCAAAUUUUAAUUAAAAAAAUUCAGCCUCUUUUGUGACGACUAUCCAUCUAACCUCUUUAAACUAACGAAAAAUUUAUUUAUCAUAAAAUAUUUUCCUAUUAACUCUGUAAAUUAUGUACUUGAUUUAUGAAUGAUGGACUUGGAAUUGAAAUACGGAACAUACUGAAUGACCUGUUUAUAUAUAGAACGAAAAGAGUAAAUAAUAACAAAAUCUGCUGUAACAAAAACUGAAGGCAACUAAGGAAAAUUGCAUUUUAUGAUGAACAUCAAAAUUUAUGAACACGAGAACUUGUGAUGAGCAACAACUGAAGGCUAACAACACCAGAACUCUAUGAUGAACACAGAAAUUUGAUUCAACAGAAUGUAAACUGGUUUUUUCUCCACACCAGAACCGAAGGCAAUUUUCAACACCAGAACUUCUGGAAUUUUGAUUCACCAGAACUUUAUGAUGAGCACCAAAUCUCCAAUUCGCUUAACUAUACACCAGAAAAUAAAGGUUCAUUCCACCAUAUAUUAAGCAUAAUUUCAUUGUUUUUGUAUGGAUCUAGAGUUCUUAUAAACCUGCUGGGUUUACGAUUUGGGGAUUCAUUUGGUGUAGAAGCGUUCUUGGAGAAGCAGCAGUGGAGAAUAACGUUUCAUUUGGGGGAAGAAAGCAAUUUAAUUAGUGGCCACUUGUCAAAAUUUAACGGUGUUAGUGACACGUAAGAUUUCUAUCGACCACGUGGAGUUUUUUGCCUAAUUGGACGGAUGAAAGUGAAACGGGUGAUGGAUGGAUAAUUGUUUUCGAAAGUAGGUGAGCAUUUGGUAACCAAAUAUUUAUGGGUGAGCAAGUAGUAACCGACUCACCCAUAAAUGUUUAUGAUUGGUGAUUUAAUUAACUCAAAUAUAAAUAGUUUAUAGCUCCGUAUUUUCGUGGCAUUUUCGCUCAAGGAUUGUCCUUGAUAAGUGUAUUGUAUAGAGAAGCUAAAAAUGAAAGCAUUCACGACACAUAUCGAAAUGGUACUAAUUAAAUCGAUCAUUAAUGAUUAGUUCGAAUACUGAGUGUGGUCUAGUCGCUCAUUUAUCAGACUGCUCGGAAAAAGAUAAAAAUAAAGGCAAUUUUGAAACUUGACUCCAACUACUUUGCAAGUAUCCUUUAAGUCAAACAGAUAAAACAUGUUAAUGAAAAUAAAUUGACCUCCUUUUGAUCCAACCUCUUCUCUUUCUUCCUCCGCAACAGGUGCUCCGCUUCUUCUGGAAUAAAUAAAUAAAUAACAGGGGCUCCCCAACCUUUUCCCCAGCAAGAUAGGUGCAGUCGCAUUCGAUCGAGAGUCUGAUACCCUUUCAAAAGAAAGGGAACUACUGAACAGGUACCUACGUAGUGUAGCGUCGACCGCACAUUCAACAUAGAGUUCGGACUCAUGUGCCUUCCUUUCUCAACUUCUUACAAGACUCAUGUGCCUUCCUUUCUCAACUUCUUACAACGCUAACCGCUUCGACUGCAAGAUAUUGUUGAACCCCAUCUCGCAAUUCUCAGAAUCACAAAGUUCAGUUUAAAAAUUAGUUGAAACUCUUUUUGUGACGACUAUCCAUCUAACCUCUUUAAACUAACGAAAAAUUUAUUUAUCAUAAAAUAUUUUCCUAUUAACUCUGUAAAUUAUGUACUUGAUUUAUGAAUGAUGGACUUGGAAUUGAAAUACGGAACAUACUGAAUGACCUGUUUAUAUAUAGAACGAAAAGAGUAAAUAAUACAUACAAUACCAGAGGUUCACAUCAGAUAGCAGCCAAAAAUGAAAAAGCAAUAGCAUCAGUACUACUUUUAUUCCUGACAGACCCCAUAUUACUAUACUAGUAUUAUAUUGUACUCAAAGCAGCCUAUUCACCAUCAGACAUAAUAAAGAAUGAAUUCAAGCUGGAUCUUUGAACAAAAUACCAAAUACAAGAUAUCCCCUUCCCAAUACAGAACGAGAAAUGUACGCGCGCCAAAAAUUAAACCCCAGUAGUCAUAAGAUAUCUGUAUGCUGGUUCAGAUGAAAGUCAAUGGCGAUUCGACAACUUGAGGGUCUCCCUUUCAUGUGUGGUUGAACUAUGGGUAAUGCUUGAGGUCAACUGAUCCCAAUUCAUAAGCUUUUAUCUGCAAAAUAAAUAUAAAUCAUGCAGAUCAAAUAAAAAUCCCUUGAUAGCAUGCCUAAUGACUCUUGAAUUCUCCAUUGUAUAUCAUGUCAAUAAUCAAUAGAAAUGAUGUUCCAGAUAAAGUUAGGUCUUCCCGUCAAUGCCCGUCAAUGAAGAAAAUUAAGCCAUUUAUUUUGACACGUCAGUCAGGCUCAAGAGUAAUUGAUAGUCAAAUGAAAGGUGCAGCGUCCAAUUAACUUCCAAAGAAAUCGACAUUCAAAUCAAAGUACGGAACUACUAACAUGUACAUGGCAAUGCUGAAAUGAAUUCCAGAAGAAAUUACGCAAAGCCGCA